rnacentral:rRNA from 1 species
AUUGAACGCCGGCGGCAGGCCUAACACAUGCAAGUCGAACGGUAACAGGAAACAGCUUGCUGUUUCGCUGACGAGUGGCGGACGGGUGAGUAAUGUCUGGGAAACUGCCUGAUGGAGGGGGAUAACUACUGGAAACGGUAGCUAAUACCGCAUAACGUCGCAAGACCAAAGAGGGGGACCUUCGGGCCUCUUGCCAUCGGAUGUGCCCAGAUGGGAUUAGCUAGUAGGUGGGGUAACGGCUCACCUAGGCGACGAUCCCUAGCUGGUCUGAGAGGAUGACCAGCCACACUGGAACUGAGACACGGUCCAGACUCCUACGGGAGGCAGCAGUGGGGAAUAUUGCACAAUGGGCGCAAGCCUGAUGCAGCCAUGCCGCGUGUAUGAAGAAGGCCUUCGGGUUGUAAAGUACUUUCAGCGGGGAGGAAGGGAGUAAAGUUAAUACCUUUACUCAUUGACGUUACCCGCAGAAGAAGCACCGGCUAACUCCGUG